AUUGAACGCUGGCGGCAUGCCUUACACAUGCAAGUCGAACGGCAGCAUGAUCUAGCUUGCUAGAUUGAUGGCGAGUGGCGAACGGGUGAGUAAUACAUCGGAACGUGCCCUGUAGUGGGGGAUAACUAGUCGAAAGAUUAGCUAAUACCGCAUACGACCUGAGGGUGAAAGUGGGGGACCGCAAGGCCUCAUGCUAUAGGAGCGGCCGAUGUCUGAUUAGCUAGUUGGUGAGGUAAAGGCUCACCAAGGCGACGAUCAGUAGCCGGUCUGAGAGGACGAUCAGCCACACUGGGACUGAGACACGGCCCAGACUCCUACGGGAGGCAGCAGUGGGGAAUUUUGGACAAUGGGCGAAAGCCUGAUCCAGCAAUGCCGCGUGUGUGAAGAAGGCCUUCGGGUUGUAAAGCACUUUUGUCCGGAAAGAAAUGGCUCUGGUUAAUACCUGGGGUCGAUGACGGUACCGGAAGAAUAAGAACCGGCUAACUACGUG
rnacentral:rRNA from 1 species